AUCAUGGCUCAGAUUGAACGCUGGCGGCAUGCUUUACACAUGCAAGUCGAACGGCAGCACGGGUGCUUGCACCUGGUGGCGAGUGGCGGACGGGUGAGUAAUGCAUCGGAACGUGUCCUGAAGUGGGGGAUAACGUAGCGAAAGUUACGCUAAUACCGCAUAUUCUGUGAGCAGGAAAGCAGGGGAUCGCAAGACCUUGCGCUCUGGGAGCGGCCGAUGUCGGAUUAGCUAGUUGGUGGGGUAAAGGCCUACCAAGGCGACGAUCCGUAGCGGGUCUGAGAGGAUGAUCCGCCACACUGGGACUGAGACACGGCCCAGACUCCUACGGGAGGCAGCAGUGGGGAAUUUUGGACAAUGGGCGCAAGCCUGAUCCAGCCAUGCCGCGUGAGUGAAGAAGGCCUUCGGGUUGUAAAGCUCUUUCGGCAGGGAAGAAAUUGCACGGGUUAAUACCCUGUGUAGAUGACGGUACCCGAAUAAGAAGCACCGGCUAACUACGUG
rnacentral:rRNA from 1 species